rnacentral:rRNA from 1 species
GAUGAACGCUGGCGGCGUGCCUAAUACAUGCAAGUCGAGCGAAUGGAUUAAGAGCUUGCUCUUAUGAAGUUAGCGGCGGACGGGUGAGUAACACGUGGGUAACCUGCCCAUAAGACUGGGAUAACUCCGGGAAACCGGGGCUAAUACCGGAUAACAUUUUGAACCGCAUGGUUCGAAAUUGAAAGGCGGCUUCGGCUGUCACUUAUGGAUGGACCCGCGUCGCAUUAGCUAGUUGGUGAGGUAACGGCUCACCAAGGCAACGAUGCGUAGCCGACCUGAGAGGGUGAUCGGCCACACUGGGACUGAGGCACGGCCCAGACUCCUACGGGAGGCAGCAGUAGGGAAUCUUCCGCAAUGGACGAAAGUCUGACGGAGCAACGCCGCGUGAGUGAUGAAGGCUUUCGGGUCGUGAAACUCUGUUGUUAGGGAAGAACAAGUGCUAGUUGAAUAAGCUGACACCUUGACGGUACCUAACCAGAAAGUCACGGCUAACUACGUGCCAGCAGCCGCCGCAG